CAAACACUAAAUUCAAUUUGAUCAAAUAUUAUUAGGUGGCUAUUCUUUUCCACUAUGAACAAGAGUUCCCUGAUUUGGAAUCCAUAUUGUUGUUUAGAAAGACAAUUAGUGGGCUUACUCAGUCGUAUUAGAUAGAAAGCUUGCUAAGAAAGCUCCGCAAGUCAUCUGGCUGAGAUGGAUUAUGAGCGCAAGUGAUAAACAAUGAGGGGAAACCCAAUUUUCCCUUAAAUUUUUUUUACCUUAAUGGCUUCAUACUUGGACAGAAGGGUAAUGUAUUUCUGCUGCUCUGGAUCCCGCUCCUAGAAGACAACGAUGGGGUUAGCAGAGGUUCAAACUUAAGAGUGCAGGCAUUUUUAUUUUUUUACUUUCGGCCAUAUGAGUGGAAAAAUCUCUUUUUGAGUGUUUUCUGACUUACGUUCAGUAUCUCUUCAUUAAACCUUUGGCUCUCAUGGACUUGUCCCUCCACCGUCUCUACUGACGCUUGCGGUGUUUUCACUUCGUCCUUCAGGUCGGAGUUCUCCUGCUCCAGAGUAUCCUGAGUGAAUGAGAUUGAUAAAAGGUUUUAUACGCCACAAAUGACCAACAUUAGAACUUUGAUGCAAAGCCAUUUUAUCAGCUAACAGGAACCGCACAGUUAACAAUUCAUGACGUUUAAAAUUAAGAGAAGAUGAGCUUACCCUAGUCUCUUUGUAGUCGUAACAAAGGAUUAGGGAUUUCUGCAGCUUUUGCUCCUGCUCCUCAAACACAAACAUGCGAGUGUUCAAUGUUCAUAUCUGCAAUGGACCUUUUCACUUUUGUUUGAAAAUGCACAGUUGUAAACAGAUGCUGUGGCAUAAUUAAAACUGCAACGUCGGCUUGUAUGAUUACGAUCAGUAUAUAACCGAUCAAAACCUUACACUGUCUGGUCAAAGUGUACAUAGUCUCUUUUGGAAGUUUUUAAGGUACCGGUGAACUUUUUAUUUUAUUUUCUCAAUAUCUGCCAUGUUGUUUGUUAAUCAAAUGAAUGUGAAAAGUUCUUUUUAAUGCUCUUCUGUCCUCCAGGAAUAAAUAAUAAAUAAAUAAAUAAAUAAAUAAAUAAAUAGAUAUUAAAGCGUUUCUCGCUUACCUUCAAUUUCUUUUCUUCUAUGUGGUCAGUCUUAUGGAGUCCCUCCAACUUCUCCACUGACCCUUGCAGUGUUUUUAAUUGAGUCUUCAUGAUGGAGUUUUCAUACUCCUGCUGAGCGGUGGACGCUACAACAAUCUUAACUAUCUUCUUAUCUUCAGCCAUAAAGGACUGCAAGUUCAACAAAAAAAUGAUAUCAGCUUUAUUUACCUGUAAAAGUCUCUUUUUAUCCAUCCAUCCAUCCAUCUUCUAUAUCGCUUAUCCUUUUCAGGGUCACGGGGAAACCUGGAGCGUAUCCCAGGGAGCAUCGGGUACAACGCGGGGUACACCCUGGACAGGGUGCCAAUCCAUCGCAGGGCACGACAGUCUCUUUUUAUGUGUAUCUCUAAAUUGCUAUUAAGGCUUUUCUCACUUACCUUCAAUUUCUUUUUAAACAUGCGGCGAGUCUUGUGGACUUGUCCCUCCAACUUCUCCAAAGAGCCUUGCAGUGUUUUUACUUGGUCCUUCAGAUUGGAGGUCUCGUCCUCCAGAGUAUCCCGAGUGAAUGAAAUUGAUAAAAAGGUUGUUUUGUUUUUUUUAGACACCACACAUUACCCACAUUAGUACUUUGUUGCAAAGCCACUAUUAGCAAUUACAGCUUCAGGACAUAUACGGUAAGAUCUAAUAAGCUUCAUGCAGGAUUAUGGUUCAGUUUUGUUCCCUUCCUCUCAGCAUAUAAUCCUCAAUUUCCCAACAUUACGGGUGUCCAUCUGACAGACUCGUCAUUUUAAUAUCCCCCAUACAUUUUCAACAGGGUUCAAGUCAGUAGAUCGGCCAGGCCAUGCAAGCUCUUCAUUUAAGAUGAUGACGUUUAAUAUGAAGCUUUUCUCACUCACCUUGCUUUAUCUCUCAGACAUCGUAUGAACCUCAGAGAGCAGUUUCUCCAGCUACAUCACUUUGUGCUCCAGGUAUUCAACAUAGAACUUCUCGCAGUCCGGUUGAACACCGGACACCUCAUCUUUCUCAUCCUUAUCCUCCAGAGUCAUUAUGUCAUUUUCUAUGGAUGCUGAGUAGUAUUUCGCCUCACACUAGAUUACCAGCACAAUAAAGCCUGAUAUUUGGUCUGACCUGGCCACCACAUUGUUACCUAAAAGGUCUGGCUAGAUCCCUUACUGAAAACCGUUUGUUUAAUAUAUAUAUAUAUAUGGAGAACUGCAUUUAACAGUUCAUCGUUACACCAGGACCAAGAAGUACUUAUGGAAAUAACCCUACCUUUGUGGACAGCUGUGCCUUCAAAGGCUUUCCUACUCGGCUCCUCAACUUCACACUUUUGGACAUCGUUAGCUCCAGCUACAUUGGCUUCAGCUCCAGAAGCUGCGAAGCUUGUAAAACGCUUGCAUUUACAAAAAAGUAAACAUUAUGUCUUACUCCUUAACAGGUCUGAAACACCUCGUCAAUGUCGAGUUCAAUGAAACAAUGAGCCUCUCUGCCUUCUUAUUAAUCUUGUAGAAAAGAAUUUGCGUUCUGUUUCCAGUGACGUCACAACCACCUCUCCAUGGAAACGCCAUUCUAUAGAAUCUCCGUUCUGCGUCUCCCCCUCCCCUCUGCUACAACUUUUAUCAUAUGAAAAUGUGAUUUAGUUGAUUUUCAGUUCAUCAUUUAAUGAAAUAAUUAUCUUAUGCAUUCGUAUAAUACGACAUACCGACAAAAUCUCACCCGUAGUAGUUCAGUCGUCCUACUAGGAGUCUACAACAUAAAACAAAGGCAACCUGAGUAAACACACAAUACAGUUUUUAAACCUAUCACCAAUGUGAAAAACGAUUUGCCCGCCUUCAACUUAAAAUCUGGUUGUGCCACCUUUAGCACCAAUAACUGCAACCGAACAAUCGAUCACUGGAGAUUAGUCUGUGGUGGAAUAAACGGGUUAAUAUUUUCAGGGUUAUUUUAACCCUUUAAAAAUGUCAAUUUACCACAUUAUAAACAAAUAUGUCAACAUGGUAUCUCGUUUAUUUAUACACAAGAAGGUGUUCAGAAAUGUAUUACUAGAGCUGCUAACGUGGUGUUUAUAUAUAUAUAGACUAGACUUUGAAGUAAACAACUCAAAUAAGUCAUAUUUAACUCAAUUUUAUUUGUACAGCGCUUUUUACAAUGGACAUUGUCUCAAAGCUGCUUUACAGAAAUAUAUAAACACGGGAUACACAUUUUAAAUGUGUAAAAUUUAAAAAAAAAAAAAAAAAAAAAGUUCACCUCUACCUCCAUCUACUGGUUUUAGGUGCAAUUGCAAGACAUUUUAAUGUUGUGUUUGUUUGUCCACCAGAUGGCAGUAAUCUGCGACUAAACCAUGCUGCAGUCUUCAUAUUAUUUGAAUGGAGUGCAACACAGAAGUCUGUAAUCUUCCCUAAAGUCUGUAACUGUCUGGGGUUUGUGGAGACUUCAAAACAUUCUGAGUGUUGGCAUAAACGAACAGCCUAGAAGGGUUCAUUUGAGCCAAGGAGUUGGGUUGAUGCAUCGAGGUGGGCGAGUGGGGUGCACUGAUUCGACUGUCAGUGAAAAUGACCCAGCCAUUAACCCAACGGUUGGGUUACACAAAAUUACCCGAUAACUGG
ensembl:lncRNA